rnacentral:rRNA from 1 species
UACGGAGGGUGCGAGCGUUGUCCGGAAUUAUUGGGCGUAAAGGGCGCGUAGGUGGCCUCUCAAGCGGGGGGUGAAAGUCGGGGGCUCAACCCCCGAUCGGCCGUGCGAACUGGGGGGCUGGAGCACUGUAGAGGCAGGCGGAAUUCCGGGUGUAGCGGUGAAAUGCGUAGAUAUCUGGAGGAAUACCGGUGGCGAAGGCGGCAUCCUGGACCGGCAUUGACGCUGAGGAGCGAAAGCUAGGGGAGCAAACAGG